CCUACGGGAGGCAGCAGUAGGGAAUAUUGCUCAAUGGGGGAAACCCUGAAGCAGCAACGCCGCGUGGAGGAUGACGGUUUUCGGAUUGUAAACUCCUUUUGUUAGAGAAGAUAAUGACGGUAUCUAACGAAUAAGCACCGGCUAAAUCCGUGCCAGCAGCCGCGGUAAUACGGAGGGUGCAAGCGUUACUCGGAAUCACUGGGCGUAAAGGGCGCGUAGGUGGGAUAGCAAGUCAGAUGUGAAAUCCUAUGGCUUAACCAUAGAACUGCAUUUGAAACUGUUAGUCUAGAGUAUGGGAGAGGUAGGUGGAAUUCGUGGUGUAGGGGUAAAAUCCGUAGAGAUCAAGAAGAAUACUCAUUGCGAAGGCGACCUGCUAGAACAUAACUGACGCUGAUGCGCGAAAGCGUGGGGAGCAAACAGGAUUAGAUACCCGGGUAGUC
rnacentral:rRNA from 1 species